UUGAUCCGCAAUUUCGGCUACUUUUGGAAACCAGCUUCCAGAGCUGUGACCAGAGGAGGAAGCUUUUGUCUUAAGGUCUUACAUCCAGGUCUUGGGUCCAAACUUGUGUUGUCCAUUCCAGAGGCCAAUUGUGGUAUAUCAUUAAAAAAAUUCAUAUCAGCACCACCAAAUAAAACUUAACAUUACAGAUGAUAGCUUAAAUUCCACCACAAUGUCCAAUAAACAGGAAGAUGGGUCUACAAAACUCUUUUGGGGUCUAUGUUGAUGAGGGUGAUAAAGGGUGUGUGCUUGCACGAAAAAAACGUGAAAUAAGACAUAAUUUCACGUUGAACGUGAAAUAAUUUCUGUAAUGAACGUUGAACAUGAAAUAAUUUCUGUAAUGAACAUUUCACGAAAAAUAAAUACUUUUAUUUGAACCUUUUGUGUCUUCUUGUAUAUAUUAACUCUUUGUUUUACUUGAUAUUCCCGAUUUAGUAUACACAUUUAUGAUAUAAUUGGUUAACGGCUUUUAAAAAAGUAUUUCUUGACGAUCCCUGCCAAGUGUUUAAAUUUUAUUUGAAAAAUACCGAGCAUGCAAAAUAAGACUUUGAAAAUUACCGAGCAUGCAAAAUAAGACUUUGAAAAUUACGAUGCACGUAAAAUUAAAUAAACAGAACACGUUGAACGAGGCACCCGUCUUGCACGACUGAACGUCAAAUAAAAAAGUAAAAACAUGUUGAACGUAAAAUAAAAAACAGCGAUCCCGUUGCACGAAAAUUACCCCUUACCACCCUUGUUGAUUUGUAGGGCUCAUUAACCUGCAAACACUUUUAUCCAAUCCUAAGUAUAAAGGUCUACUAUGGUACAUGUAUAUUUCGUUAAAAAAAAAGUAACAAGCACCACCAAAAAUAAUGUAACUUCGCUCCCGUUAGUCCAACCAAUGGAUAUAGUGGACUAAAACACUCUUUGGGGUUGUAUGUUCAACUAAGUUGGUUUGUGAAGCUCAUUAAAUUACAGACACCUCUGGUCCAAUCUUUAAGUCCUGGGGGAACAUUUCACAACAGCAGAUAGGUACCUUCCAGCUGGUCCAACAGACAAGUAUAUGGGUAUAUAACACUCUUUGUGAGUCCUAGUUGGUUUGUAAGGCUCAUUGGUCCACAUGCCCCUUGAGUCCAAUCUACAAGUCCAUGUGGUCCUCCUUUUAGAGUAUUUUUAAUUAAAGAAAAAUAUAAGCACCACCGAAAAAACCCAACUUAGCACCAUGGGAGGUAGCUUCCCUCCAAUUGGUCCAACUAACAUGUAUAGGGGUUUAAAGCACUCUAUUGGGGUCUAAGAUGGUUUGUUAAGCUCAUUAGUCCACAGGCACAUAUGGUCCAAUCUACAUAAGUCCUGGGGUAUUUUGGUGUAUAUAUCAAUUAAGAAAAAUAUAAGCACCACCAAAAAAGGACUUAGCACCACGGGAGGUGGUUUUCCUCCAAUUGGUCCAACUGACGUGUAACAGUGUAUAGGGGUCUAAAGCAAUUUAUUGGGGUCUAAGUUGGUUUGUUAUGCUCAUUAGUCCACAGGCACAUAUGGUCAGACUCAAAUCUACACAAGUCAUGGGGUCUUAUGGUGUAUGCAUCAUUUAAGAAAAAAUAUAAGCACCACAGAUUUUGUUUCUAACACCACAGGAGGUAGCUUCCCUCCAAUUGGUCCAACUGAUGUGUAUAUUGGGGUCUAAGAUGGUUUGUUAAGCUCAUUAGUCCACAGGCACAUAUGGUCCAAUCUACACAAGUCCUGGGGUCUAUUGGUGUAUACAUCAUUUAAAGAAAAAUAUAAGCACCACAGAAAAAAAACUUAGCACCACGGGAGGUAGCUUCCCUCCAAUUGGUCCAACUGAUGUGUAUAGGGGUCUAAAGCACUCUAUUGGGGUCUAAGAUGGUUUGUUAAGCUCAUUAGUCCACAGGCACAUAUGGUCCAAUCCAAGGGUCCGGAAACGGUCAUAUAUGCCAGUCUUGACCUAAACUGAAAGUAGUUUGUCCUAAAUGAGUAAUUGGGAUUUAGGACAAAUUUUAUUUUUUUACAGAAAUAAUUUCGGUCAUUCAAUGUCAUUUCGUUGAGAUCAAGUUUCUAACAUUGUCUAAAAUCGCCAUUUUGAACUUAUUGUUUGUUGUUAUCCUUUUCCUGUAAUAAAACUGCCACUCCAGUAAAGUGUUAUUAUCCUGAGGGCCCUCCUAAUAACUAUAGUAUUGCCUCCGGGAAAUAUUGGCUAAUGAUCGCUAAUCUCUUUACCUGUGUUUUUAAUUAAAUUUUUUAUUGAUCACGAGCUCAGAACUAAUAUUUUAAAGAAAUUAAAAGUUCAUGACAACUGUCUGCAUUAUUUAAUUACUUUUCUCAGCUUAGACAAUUGUCAAUUCUGAUUUAAGAUUAAAUUAAAAUUAAAUUAAUUUACGUAGAACAAAAUAUUGUUUCACUACAAACACACGUGCUUUGUUUACUAUCUACACAAGUCCUGGGGUCUUUUGUUGUAUAUUUUAUUUAAGAAAAAUAUAAGCACCACCAAAAAAUAAACUUAGCACCACAGGAGGUGGUUUUCCACCCAUUGGUCCAACAAACAGGUAAAAGGAUCUAUAAUGCUCUUUGGUGUUCUAAGUUGGUUUGUAAGGCUCAUUGGUCCAAAAGCAACUGUGGUCCAAUAUGCAUUAGUCCAGGGUUUCAGGACAUAUUUCACUAAAGAAAAAUAUAGGCACCACCAAAAAGAGACUUAGCACCACAGGAGUUAGCUUCCUUUCCUUUUGGUCCAACAGAUGGGUAUAGGGGUCUUAAUACUCUUUGGGGUUCUAAGUUGGUUUGUAAGGCUCAUUGGUCCACAGGCAACUUUGAUCCACUCUACAAGUCAAGGCGUCUAUUAUAUAAUAUUUUAUUUGAUAAAAAUAUAAGCACCACCAAAAACAAAUUUUGCAACUUGGGAGGUAGCUUUCCUUCCAAUGGUCCAAAGGAUGGGUAGGGGGUCUAAAAUAGUCUUUAGGGUUCCCAUUGAUUUAUAAGGCCUGUUGGUCAAAAAGCAACUUUGGUCCAAUCUACACUUGUCCAGGGUUCUCAGGGCAUAUUUCACUAAAGAAAAAUAUAAGCACCACUAAAAAGAAACUUAGCACCACAGAAGGUAGCUUCCCUUCCUUUGGUCCAACAGAUGGAUAUAGGGGUCUUAAUACUCUUUGGGGUUCUAAGUUGGAUUGUAAGGCUCAUUGGUCCACAGGCAACUGUGAUCCACUCUACAAGUCAAGGGGUCUUUUAUAUUAUAUUUUAUUUGAUAAAAAUAUAAGCACCACCAAAACAAACUUUGCAACUCUUGAGGUAGCUUCCCUCCCAAUGGUCCAAAGGAUUGGUAGUGGGUCUAAAAUAGUCUUUGGGGUCCUUAGUUGGUUUGUGAGGCCUGUUGGUCUAAAAUCAAUUGUGUUCCAAUCUACAUUAGUCUAGGGGUCUCUGGGUAUAUUUUACUGAAGAAAAAUAUAAGCACCACCAAAAAGAAAUGUAGCACCACAGGAGGUUACUUCCCUCAAUUUGGUCCAACAGAUGGGUAUAGGGGUCUAAAUACUCUUAGGGGUACUAAGUUGGUUUGUAAGGCUCAUUGGUCAACAGGCAACUGUGGUCUAAUCUUUAAGUUAAGGGUUCUCAUAGGGUAUAUUUCAUUAAAGAAAAAUAUAAGCACCAAGAAAAACAAACUAAGAACCAUGGGAGGUAGCUUUCCUCUCGUUGUCCCAACAUACAGAUUUAGGGGUCUAACACAUUCUUUGGGUCUAAGAUGAUUUGAAAAGCUCAUGUGGUUCAAUCUUCUAGUCCAGAGGUCUGUUGUAGUAUAUUUGAUAAUUUCAUUUAAGAAAUAUAAGCACCAUCAGGCACGAACUAAGCACCAUGGGAGGUAGCUUUCCUCUCAGUGGUCCAUCAGAUAGGUUAAGGGGUCUAACCCACUCUUUUGGGUCUAAGAUGAUUUGAAAAGCACAUGUGGGGCAAUCUUCUAGUCCAGAGGCCUGUUGUGGUAUAUUUCAUUAAAGAAAUAUAAUAAGCACCACCAAAAAUGAACUUAGCACCACAGAUGAUUGCUUCCACCCCCUUGAUCCAAUAAACAGGUAUAGGGAUGUAAAAACACUUUGAGAGGUCUAUGUUGAUUUAUAUGGCCCACUGUCUGUGUUCAAUCUACAAGUCCAGGAGUUUUAUGAUAUAUUUCAUUAAAGAAAAACUUGAUUUUGUUUUACAGGGUCAUUUGGUCUACAUGUAUGCAUAAAAUGUUACUGACAGGUCUGUAUCCUUAAAGCUGUGUAAAUGCAAACAAAUGUUGUGAGGAGAUUUUAAAGCCAGAAAAAUUGUAUUUCUUAUGAUAAUUCUCCAUUGCUCUCCCUGUCUUCAAGGCAAAAGCCCUCUAAAGGAGCACAUGAAAUAGUAUGAAAUAAGCACCUUAAAACAUGAAGUAACUUUGUAAAAAAAACAAAAACAAAUAUGAUAUUCAGCAAUAACAGGCUGCUGACUUAGAACAGUCACAUAUAGAAAAAAAUAAAUAACAUGACAUUUUCAUUAUGGUGUGAUAUUUAAAAUGAAUAUGCUAAAUUAUUGAUUCUUAAUUGUACAUCAUUUUAAUGAAAUUGUGUGUCCAACUAUAUAUCUAAAUCUUGUUUUUCUUUCUACAGAUUAUCCAAAUUGAUGUCAAAAGUGUUCAGAUAUCAGAUGUACUACAGCUAAAGAAUGAAAUUAAUUGUGGUCAUUUCACAGAUUUUGCCUACAGUCAGCUCUUUAUGUGAAUUAAAGAAUGAAGAGAAAUCAACUUAUUUAUACCCAAGCUGACCAACUGUCAAGAAAAAGAAGACAAGGCAUGCAACUCCAUCUGAAGGAAAUUAAAAGAAAAGAUUUAAUCAUUACAACAAUAGAUGUGAAAAUGUUAAUUUUUCAAUCUAAAACAUACAGAACAAAUAAUACCCUAAAAAAAUACUGUUCAAGAUUGUUUCUUAAAAUAUCAGUCUUACUUUUUUUUAUAUACUUGAAGAUGUAUUGUAAAAGUAAAUUUGUUAGAUUAAAGUUUUUCAAGGCUUACAGUUGGAAACAUGUGUCAAAAUUUGUUUCUUCUUUGUUUACGGCUUUAUGAUUGGAGUUCAACCUUUUAUCUCAAGAACAAAAUAAAGGAAAUCUACUGUGCACAGAUUUAAAAGUCUUCCUCUUUUUUUUAUGAAUUGUAAAGAUAAUUUUUAAAGACGGACAAUUUAACACUGUAUUAGAGAAAUUUAGUUUGCAGAAAUUCAAGAUACAUUUUGUAAAACCAAACAAUAUGACUUUUUUACUUAAAUUAGUUCUUAUUUCAAAAUCAAAUGACUAAGGGAGAUAACUCUACUUCUAAAUUAUUUAUCUGAAUUAGUAAAUUAAAGUGGCUCAUUUUAGUAUUAUCACUGACUGAUAGAUUUGUUCCUUAAAAGAGAUUUAUGUUCCUAACAAUUGAUGAUAACUUAUAAUUAUCUGCUGAUGCAAAUUUUUCCUUACUUUUAGAGUAUUACUUUUAAAUUAAAUAUAUGUUGUUUUCAGGAGUUGUGUCCCUUAAAAAAAAUUUAUUUAUCAGAAUAUGUUUGGUAUAUAUGUAAUCAAGGUGGUAUUUUAUACUGAUUACAUUAUCUUUAUUUAUAUUCAAGGUUGUCAAACAAUCCUGUAGUUGUAUUUUUGAAUUUAGAGAUAAUCUGUAUCAAUAUGUAUUAAAAUUAAUUGUUUCUAUUAUGUUAUGCCGUUCCGUUAUUUAUAAAGUUCGUUUGAUUAUAUUCUUAAUCUAUUUAUGUGUUCCAGUCUAAGAGGAUUAUUCAUCUCUAACAUUAAAACAUCGUACCUUCGCUACCUUUCCCUCUCUCAUACGUAUCCGUUACAGGAAAAUUGCAAGGUCAUUACAAUCACGAGGAACAUUUCGUUGAGACGUCAUCUUGGACACAAUUCGUGGCUAACAACAGAGUGAGUUAAUUCUACAACAUUGUAUUUGAACCCUUCAAAUUGCUCUCUACAUAUUUGAAUCUUUUCUCCGUGAAAUACUUGAAAUUUAACAGUUCUUGAAGUACAAUAUUUUCUCGCAUUCAACGGACUGUGCUUUCUAUUAUUUUUGACAUUUCGUUUUAAUAACAUUAAUUGAACACAUUGUAAAAUUGUAUUUUAUUUGUAUUUUCAGCUUUUUACCAUUUGUUAGAUUGGUUUGAGAAUAAAUUAUCAGCACCUGAUAGUCUUGUUGCUUGAGCCCAAUCGACGGUUAAACUUAAUGGUCAAGCCAUUAGUUUCUUUUGCACACCCCCUCAAUUACAUAGUAAUGGCUUUUUUUUUUUUUUUAUAUCAACCUUAAUGGUGAAAGUAUUCAGAAUUGAUGCAUUCUGAAAUUCUGCAGUUUAGAUCUGUGGUAAUAGAUAAGUUAUUUGAAUUUGAAACAUCAUUUAAGUUGACAUGUUACAUUUUCAAACAUUUACAAAUGAACACAUUUUUUUUUUUAUUUGAAAAGAUAAUAAAUUGAAAAACUUAUUACAUUUUAUAUUAAUGUAUCUCCUACCUAAUGAUACUUCUAAGAAUUCUGUAUGCAAAUAAAAAUGUUCAUAGGUAUUAAAUUUAUAGAAAGUCAAACUUGAAAAGAAACUGGGGUUGCUGUGCAUAAUUAAUGUUUAAUUUGAAAUUGUAACAAAUUGUAAACUUUUAUUUGAUUGUACAUUGUGCUGAAUGUUGAACAAAUUUCAUCUGUAUAGAUAGAACUUAUGUUUUGAAUAUUCAUUGAUUAAUAAACUUAAUAAGAGUAUAAUGCAA